UACGUAGGGUGCGAGCGUUGUCCGGAAUUAUUGGGCGUAAAGGGCUCGUAGGCGGUUUGUCGCGUCGGGAGUGAAAUCCACUGGCUUAACUGGUGGCUUGCUUUCGAUACGGGCAGACUGGAGGUAUGCAGGGGAGAACGGAAUUCCUGGUGUAGUGGUGGAAUGCGUAGAGAUCCGGAGGAACACCAGCGGCGAAGGCGGCAUCCUGGACUGGUCCUGACACUCAUGAGCGAAAGCGUGGGGAGCGAUCCGG
rnacentral:rRNA from 1 species